AAACUCCUCACUCCGUACUAAGCAAUACUAUACCUCUAUAGAAAAUUUUAUGUUAAAACUAGUAACAAGAAGACAGACCUUCUCUUAAAUGUAAACGUAAAUCAUAAGGACAAACCACUGAUAUUUAACGCUCAAGAACCAGAAGUAAUAACCAACCAAGAAAACUUUACUUUAAUUAACGUUAACCUAACACAAGAGCAUUUCAAGAAAGAUUAAAAGAAAAAGAAGGAACUCGGCAAACUUUAACCUCGCCUGUUUACCAAAAACAUCACCUCUUGAUAAUAAUGAGAGGCCCAGCCUGCCCAGUGACCCAGUUCAACGGCCGCGGUAUCCUAACCGUGCGAAGGUAGCGUAAUCACUUGUUCUUUAAAUAAGGACUAGUAUGAACGGCAUCACGAGGGUUAUGCUGUCUCCUUUUUCCGAUCAGUGAAACUAAUUUCCCCGUGAAGAAGCGGGGAUAAAAUUAUAAGACGAGAAGACCCUAUGGAGCUUCAAACAACACAACAAAUGCCAAACAACUUAAAAAUUUCAUAACUCCAAAUUUACUCAGCAUUAUGAUUGUUAGUUUUAGGUUGGGGUGACCGCGGAGCAAAACACAACCUCCACAUUGAAAGAAUUUUAUUCUAAGCCAAGAACCACAACUCAAAGCAUCUAUAUAUUGACAUUAAUUGACCCAAUAAACUUGAACAACGAACCAAGUUACCCUAGGGAUAACAGCGCAAUCUACUUCAAGAGCCCCUAUCGACAAGUAGGUUUACGACCUCGAUGUUGGAUCAGGGUCUCCAAGUGGUGCAGCCGCUACUAAAGGUUCGUUUGUUCAACGAUUAUAC
rnacentral:rRNA from 1 species